GAUAACGGCGUCGAGCGGCGGACGGGUGAGUAAUGCCUAGGAAAUUGCCCUGAUGUGGGGGAUAACCAUUGGAAACGAUGGCUAAUACCGCAUGAUGCCUACGGGCCAAAGAGGGGGACCUUCGGGCCUCUCGCGUCAGGAUAUGCCUAGGUGGGAUUAGCUAGUUGGUGAGGUAAGGGCUCACCAAGGCGACGAUCCCUAGCUGGUCUGAGAGGAUGAUCAGCCACACUGGAACUGAGACACGGUCCAGACUCCUACGGGAGGCAGCAGUGGGGAAUAUUGCACAAUGGGCGCAAGCCUGAUGCAGCCAUGCCGCGUGUAUGAAGAAGGCCUUCGGGUUGUAAAGUACUUUCAGUCGUGAGGAAGGCGGCGUCGUUAAUAGCGGCGUUGUUUGACGUUAGCGACAGAAGAAGCACCGGCUAACUCCGUGCCAGCAGCCGCGGUAAUACGGAGGGUGCGAGCGUUAAUCGGAAUUACUGGGCGUAAAGCGCAUGCAGGUGGUUUGUUAAGUCAGAUGUGAAAGCCCGGGGCUCAACCUCGGAAUA
rnacentral:rRNA from 1 species